AGAAUAUUUAUGAAAAAGAGGGAAACUUCUAACUUCCCAAAAGCGGUUAAAUUCCGUUUAUAUUCUA
rnacentral:tRNA from 1 species